CUACAACGAUCCCGUGACGGUGCCCCGGCAACGGGGUGAAAAGGGAAUGCGGUGAGGAGCGCGAGUUCCGAAUCCGCGGCUGCCCCCGCAACUGUGAGCGGCGAGCGUCUGCCAGUAGGCCACCGGAGCGAUCCGGGAAGGCGGCAGGCGCGCCGAGCCGCGAGCCAGGAGACCUGCCGUCACGCUGAGAUCCCGC
rnacentral:ncRNA from 1 species